GCUGACCCCUCCUCCUUGUCUCCUGCAGGCUGGGACAAGCGUUACUGUGAAGCGGGCUUCAGCUCCGUGGUCACUCAGGCAAGUAGGGAGCAAAAGCGCAGUGGGGGCGGCUCCCAAACAGGGCCCCCUCUCACCCUCAGGACUUCCCUUCCAGGCCGGAGAGCUGGUGCUUGGGGCUCCUGGCGGCUAUUAUUUCUUAGGUCUCCUGGCCCAGGCUCCAAUUGCGGAUAUUUUCUCGAGUUACCGCCCAGGCAUCCUUUUGUGGCACGUGUCCUCCCAGAGCCUCUCCUUUGACUCCAGCAACCCAGAGUACUUCGACGGCUACUGGGGAUACUCGGUGGCCGUGGGCGAGUUCGACGGGGAUCUCAACACUACAGAGUAUGUCGUCGGUGCCCCCACUUGGAGCUGGACCCUGGGAGCGGUGGAAAUUUUGGACUCCUACUACCAGAGGCUGCAUCGGCUGCGCGGAGAGCAGAUGGCGUCGUAUUUUGGGCAUUCAGUGGCUGUCACUGACGUCAACGGGGAUGGGUGAGGAGGGACAUGCCCCACCCCUACCCAGUUGGGUCCCAAAUUACCAGAGCUGCCCUCUGUCUCCCUUUCCUAGCCCUAGUCUCACGUAUCCACUGGAGGAACAGGAGAGCAAGGGUCGAGGAGAUUU
rnacentral:sRNA from 1 species